rnacentral:rRNA from 1 species
AUGGCGGCUGUCCUUGAUGCUUUGGCAGCCCGUGUGAUGAACAACAUCAUGGACAUGGGAGAAGAGAAGAUUCGCAUGCUGCUUGGCGUCUCCCACGAGAUCAACAAGCUGCAAGGCAACGUGGAACCCCUCCGGAACCUCCUCACCAAUGCCGAGAGGAGGCGAAUCACCGACAAGAGCGUGCAGGCGUGGGUGACCAAGCUCAAGGAUGCCAUGUACGAGGCCGAAGACAUCCUUGAUCUCUGCCACCUCGAGGCCAUGGACCGAGAGGAGAAGCAGCACUCCACCGGCUUAUGCCUCCGGCUCCAGGAGAAGCUGCCAUUUCUGGGCUGCGUGGGGGAGAAGCUGCAGGGUAUCCUCCAGCCAUUUCUCUUCUUCGUGCAAAACCCGGGAUUUGCCAACCAGGUAGGAAGCCGCAUCAAGAAUCUCAACGAUCAGCUGCUCACCAUCCGCAACGGUGUUGAUGGCUUCAACUUAAACAUUGACCUUACCUCGUACGAGGAACGGAGGAGGCCGCUCACCAGUUCUGCACACCCUAGGCGCGAGAACGCACAAGUCGUCGAGUCAGUUCUGCACACCGAUGAUUGGUUACGCCGGUACUUUGCUGACUCCUCGUUGAUGGAGAUCUUCGAGGCAGGAUAA